rnacentral:lncRNA from 1 species
GGCAAUCUAUGACUAGGUUUGUACAACUCAAAAGCCAACAUUAAAUCAUCAUCAUUUUCUACGCUCAUCCCAUUACCAACAACAAACGUAACAAAUGAUGCAGCUAUGUUAAACAUCUUAUAAACAUCAGACAAUAAGGAUAUGUAAGAAUACCUUCCAAUGGGGACAUUAUAUAUGGAAUCAGUUUUAUUUUCAUAUGUCAACACCACAGUAAAUCUCUCUUCCACAGCCAUGUCUUCAGACCUGCACAUAUAAAUCAUACAUUCUUUAAUUAUAUAAAAUCUCCAAAAAAAAAAAUACACUAAAACUAUCAGUAACAGUAAGUGGUACCCACAUGCUUUACUAUAAUACAAACUUUAUGGUCACACAUCCAUAGAAAACAAACAAAAGAAAGCACAAAAAGUUAUCUUUCCCCACUUGUUCGACAGAAACCAACAAAAUC